CCUACGUGAGGCAGCAGUGGGGGAUAUUGCACAAUGGGGGGAACCCUGAUGCAGCGACGCCGCGUGGGUGAAGAAGCGCCUCGGCGCGUAAAGCCCUGUCAGCAGGGAAGAAAAUGACGGUACCCGUAGAAGAAGCCCCGGCUAACUACGUGCCUGCAGCCGCGGUAACACGUAGGGGGCAAGCGUUUACCGGAUUUACUGGGUGUAAAGGGGGCGGAGACGGGGAUGCAAGCCAGGAGUGAAAGCCCGGGGCCCAACCCCGGGCCUGCCCUUGGAACUGCGUGGCUGGAGUGACGGAGGGGCAGGCGGAAUUCCUGGUGUAGCGGUGAAAUGCGUAGAUAUCAGGAGGAACACCGGUGGCGAAGGCGGCCUGCUGGACUGCAACUGACGUUGAGGCCCGAAAGCGUGGGGAGCGAACAGGAUUAGAUACCCCGGUAGUC
rnacentral:rRNA from 1 species